UCCGAUUGAUCCCGUCGGACCUUACUGCUAUCGAGAUGGGACUAAACCAGGCCAGUCGAACGACCCGGACUAUGGCGGGGAGUGGCGCACUGCUCAGUAACACGUAGCUAACCUAACCUCAAGACGGAAAUAACCCCGGGAAACUGGGGUCAAUGUCCGAUAGAUGUGAAUUCCUGGAAUGGUGUCACAUCCAAACGUCAACACACCAUGUUGUGCGAACGCUUGAGGAUGGGGCUGCGGCCGAUCAGGCUGUUGGUGGGGUAAUGGCCCACCAAACCUUUGACCGGUAUGGGCCAUGAGAGUGGUAGCCCAGAGAUGGACACUGAGACAAGGGUCCAGGCCCUACGGGGCGCAGCCGGUACGAAACCUCCACAAUGCACGCAAGUGCGAUGGGGUUAUCUCGAGUGCUAUCUGAAAAAGGUAGCUUUUCCAUGGUCUAAAUAGCCGUGGGAAUAAGGGGGGGGCAAGACUGGUGUCAGCCGCCGCGGUAACACCAGCCCCCCGAGUGGUAGGGAUGUUUAUUUGGCCUAAAGCGUCCGUAGCCGGCUAAGUAAAUUUCUCGUUAAAUCCAACGUCGUAAGCGUUGGGCUGCGAGAAAGACUGCUUAGCUAGAGGGUGGGAGAGGUCAGCGGUAUUCCUGGGGUAGGGGCGAAAUCCAUUGAACCCAGGAGGACCACCAGUGGCGAAGGCUGCUGACUAGAACACGCCUGACGGUGAGGGACGAAAGCUGGGGUAGCGAAUCGGAUUAGAUACCCGAGUAGUCCCAGCCGUAAACGAUGCAGACUAGGUGUUGGGUUGGCCACGCGCCGACUCAGUGCCACAGGGAAGCCAUUAAGUCUGCCGCCUGGGAAGUACGGCCGCAAGGCUGAAACUUAAAGGAAUUGGCGGGGGAGCACCACCAGGCGUGAAGCCUGCGGUUUAAUUGGAGUCAACGCCGGGAACCUUACCGGGAGCGACAGCAGAGUGAAGGCCAGGCUAAAGGUCUUGCCAGACGAGCUGAGAGGAGGUGCAUGGCCGUCGCCAGUUCGUGCCGUGAGGUGUCCUCUUAAGUGAGGUAACGAACGAGACCCGCGCCGCAUGUUGCUAACAAGUCCUAAAGGGAUGUUGAGCACUCUUGCGGGACCGCAGCCGACAAGGCUGAGGAAGGUGCGGGCAACGGCAGGUCAGUAUGCCCCGAAUCUCCCGGGCCACACGCGGGCUGCAAUGGUAGAGACAGAGGGCUGCAACCCCGAAAGGGGAAGCCAAUCCCUAAACUCUACCUCAGUUGGGAUUGAGGGCUGCAACCC
rnacentral:rRNA from 1 species